GUGCUCACUUCAGCAGUACAUAUACUAAAAUCGGAACGAUAGAGAUUAGCGUGGCCCCUGCACAAGGAUGACACACAAAUCCGUGAAGCGUUCCAUAUUUUU